rnacentral:rRNA from 1 species
UUCUUUUAGAAUUAAAAUUAAAGGUAAAUUCUGCCCUAUGAUUAUUUAAAUGGCUGCAGUAUUUUAACUGUGCAAAGGUAGCAUAAUAAUUAGUCAUUUAAUUGUUGACUUGUAUGAAUGGAUACAUGAAAGAUUUAUUUUUUUAAUUUAAAUUUAAAAAUUUUAUUUUUUGGUAAAAAAGCUUAAUUUUUUUUUAGGGACGAUAAGACCCUAUAGAACUUUAUUAUAAUUAUUUUUAUUUUUUAUUUAGUUUAUAACUAUUAUUAAGUUUAAUUAUUUUUUUAUUGGGGUGAUAAAUAAAUUUAACUUUAUUUUAUUAUUUCAUUAAUAUAUGAUAUUUAUUGAUCCAUUAUUUAGAUUAAAAGAUAUAGUUACCUUAGGGAUAACAGCGUAAUUUUAAUGGAAAGUUCAUAUUUAUAUUAAAGUUUGCGACCUCGAUGUUGAAUUAAGAUAAGUAUAGGGGGUAGAAUUUUUAUAACUAAGUCUGUUCGACUUUUAAAUUCUU